GGUGGGUCAUGUGCUCCCAGCAGGAAGAGGCUGGAUGUAGAAGCUCCCUAAGUGAUAAGCCAGGUAGUACCUGGGCCAGAAAUCGAUGCUGUGGGUGUCCCCAGCGGGAGGCUCUGGGGAAUUCAUAAGUAUUUGACCACCUGCCACACCCAGAGGGCUCGAAAGCCAGGACCCCCCCCCCCCCAGUUUCUUGAAGAAAACAAACUGCACAACGUGGAGCAUGGUUGGAGACAGAACGUAGGAGCCGGUUUUCCAGCC
rnacentral:lncRNA from 1 species